AACGAACGCUGGCGGCAGGCUUAACACAUGCAAGUCGAGCGCUCUCUUCGGAGGGAGCGGCAGACGGGUGAGUAACGCGUGGGAACCUACCCAUGGGUACGGAAUAACUCAGGGAAACUUGAGCUAAUACCGUAUACGUCCUGAGGGAGAAAGAUUUAUCGCCCUUGGAUGGGCCCGCGUUGGAUUAGUUUGUUGGUGGGGUAAUGGCCUACCAAGACUACGAUCUAUAGCUGUUCUGAGAGGAAGAUCAGCCACACUGGGACUGAGACACGGCCCAGACUCCUACGGGAGGCAGCAGUGGGGAAUCUUGGACAAUGGGCGCAAGCCUGAUCCAGCCAUGCCGCGUGAGUGAUGAAGGCCCUAGGGUUGUAAAGCUCUUUCACCGGUGACGAUAAUGACGGUAGCCGGAGAAGAAGCCCCGGCUAACUUCG
rnacentral:rRNA from 1 species